rnacentral:tRNA from 1 species
GCCUUCGUGGUGCAGUGGUCAGCACGCUCGAUGCGUAACCAUGAGUUCCGUGGUUCGAUUCCAUCCAAAGGCG